rnacentral:rRNA from 1 species
AGCGAACGCUGGCGGCAGGCUUAACACAUGCAAGUCGAGCGGGCCCUUCGGGGUCAGCGGCAGACGGGUGAGUAACACGUGGGAACGUACCCUUUGGUUCGGAAUAACGCUGGGAAACUAGCGCUAAUACCGGAUACGCCCUUUUGGGGAAAGGCUUGCUGCCGAAGGAUCGGCCCGCGUCUGAUUAGCUAGUUGGUGGGGUAAUGGCCUACCAAGGCGACGAUCAGUAGCUGGUCUGAGAGGAUGAUCAGCCACACUGGGACUGAGACACGGCCCAGACUCCUACGGGAGGCAGCAGUGGGGAAUAUUGGACAAUGGGCGCAAGCCUGAUCCAGCCAUGCCGCGUGAGUGAUGAAGGCCUGAGGGUUGUAAAGCUCUUUUGUCCGGGACGAUAAUGACGGUACCGGAAGAAUAAGCCCCGGCUAACUUCGUG